UGGCCCUAGUGAUCUGAUUACUUAUCAUAUUUUUCAAAUAAAAUGAUAACUAUUCAAAAGUG
rnacentral:rRNA from 1 species